GCAUCUCAUUUACACCGAGAAGCCGCCCGUGCAAAUCGGACCACCCUGAACGCCCAACCGCUAGCCCAAAAAACAUUUAUAAAUUCUAAAUAUACUCAACAAUUAAUUAACCUAAAACCCCCCAACAAACCAUUUUUCCCCCUAAGUAACAAGGCGAUAGAAAAGGGACCUGGAGCAACAGACGAAGUACCGCAAGGGAAAGCUGAAAGAAAAAUGAAAGAAAUCCAAUAAGCCUAAGAUAGCAGAGCUUUACCCUCGUACCUUUUGCAUCAUGAUUUAGCAAGCAAAACCCAAGCAAAGAGACCUAUAGUUUGAGACCCCGAAACUAAGCGAGCUACUCCAAGACAGCCCAAUUGGGGCUAACCCGUCCCUGUGGCAAAAGGGUGGGAAGAGCUUUGAGUAGAGGUGACAAAUCUACCGAGCAUAGUUAUAGCUGGUUGCCUAAGAAAUGAAUAAAAGUUCAGCCCUCCGGCUUCCUAAUCCACCUAGUACCACUAAUAUUGGCUACAGGAACACCAGAUGAGUUAAUUAAAGGAGGUACAGCUCCUUUAUUAUAGAAACACCUU
rnacentral:rRNA from 1 species